UGGGGAAUAUUGCCCAAUGGGCGAAAGCCUGAGGCAGCAACGCCGCGUGCGGGAUGAAGGCCUUCGGGUUGUAAACCGCUUUCAGCAGGGACGAAUCAAGACGGUACCUGCAGAAGAAGCGCCGGCUAACUACGUGCCAGCAGCCGCGGUAAUACGUAGGGCGCAAGCGUUGUCCGGAAUUAUUGGGCGUAAAGAGCUCGUAGGUGGUCUGUUACGUCCGCUGUGAAAUCCCAGGGCUUAACCCUGGGCCUGCAGUGGAUACGGGCAGACUAGAGGUAGGUAGGGGAGAAUGGAAUUCCCGGUGUAGCGGUGAAAUGCGCAGAUAUCGGGAGGAACACCGGUGGCGAAGGCGGUUCUCUGGGCCUUACCUGACACUGAGGAGCGAAAGCGUGGGGAGCGAACAGGAUUAGAUACCCCCGUAGUCC
rnacentral:rRNA from 1 species